rnacentral:rRNA from 1 species
GGAUACCUUCCGGGCAGGCCUAACACAUGCAAGUCGAGCGGAUGAGUGGAGCUUGCUCCAUGAUUCAGCGGCGGACGGGUGAGUAAUGCCUAGGAAUCUGCCUAUUAGUGGGGGACAACGUUUCGAAAGGAACGCUAAUACCGCAUACGUCCUACGGGAGAAAGCAGGGGACCUUCGGGCCUUGCGCUAAUAGAUGAGCCUAGGUCGGAUUAGCUAGUUGGUGAGGUAAAGGCUCACCAAGGCGACGAUCCGUAACUGGUCUGAGAGGAUGAUCAGUCACACUGGAACUGAGACACGGUCCAGACUCCUACGGGAGGCAGCAGUGGGGAAUAUUGGACAAUGGGCGAAAGCCUGAUCCAGCCAUGCCGCGUGUGUGAAGAAGGUCUUCGGAUUGUAAAGCACUUUAAGUUGGGAGGAAGGGCAGUAAGUUAAUACCUUGCUGUUUUGACGUUACCGACAGAAUAAGCACCGGCUAACUCUGUGCCAGCAGCCGCGGUAAUACAGAGGGUGCAAGCGUUAAUCGGAAUUACUGGGCGUAAAGCGCGCGUAGGUGGUUUGUUAAGUUGGAUGUGAAAGCCCCGGGCUCAACCUGGGAACUGCAUCC